rnacentral:rRNA from 1 species
UACAGAGGGGGCAAGCGUUGUUCGGAAUUACUGGGCGUAAAGGGCGCGUAGGCGGCCUGUUAAGUCGAACGUGAAAUCCCCGGGCUCAACCCGGGAACUGCGUCCGAUACUGGCAGGCUUGAAUUCGGGAGAGGGAUGUGGAAUUCCAGGUGUAGCGGUGAAAUGCGUAGAUAUCUGGAGGAACACCGGUGGCGAAGGCGGAUCUCUGGGCCAUUACUGACGCUGAGGAGCGAAAGCGUGGGGAGCGAACAGG